GAUGAACGCUGGCGGCGUGCCUAAUACAUGCAAGUCGAGCGAACAGACGAGGAGCUUGCUCCUCUGAGGUUGGCGGCGGUGGGGAGAGUCACACGUGGAUAACCUACCUAUAAGACUCGGAUAACUUCGGGAAACCGGAGCUAAUACCGGAUAAUUUAUUGAACCGCAUGGUUCAAUAGUGAAAGACGGUUUUUCUUUCAGUUAUAGACGGACCCGCGCCGCAUUAGUUAGUUGGUAAGGUAACGGCUUUCCCAGGCAACGAUGCGUAGCCGACCUGAGCGCGUGAUCGGCUACACUGGAACUGAGGCAGAGGUCACACUCGUACGGUGGGUAGCGGUAGGGAAUCUUCCGCAAUGCGCGAAAGCUUGACAGAACAACGCCGCGGGAAUGCUGAAGGACCUCGGAUCGUAAAAUUAUGAUAUUCUGGAAGAACAAAUGUGUAUUUAACUGGGCACGUCUUGACGGUACCAGAACAGAAAGCCCCGGCUAACUACGUG
rnacentral:rRNA from 1 species